rnacentral:rRNA from 1 species
CCAAUAGCGUAUAUUAAAGUUGUUGCAGUUAAAAAGCUCGUAGUUGAAUUUCGGGGUCAGUAGGUUGGUCGUGCCACCGGUACGUACUGGUCUCACUGAUUCCUACCUUCUGACGAACCAUCAUGUCAUUAAUUUGGUGUGGCGGGGAAUCAGGACUGUUACUUUGAAAAAAUUAGAGUGUUUAAAGCAGGCUCGCGCUUGAAUACAUUAGCAUGGAAUAAUGAAAUAGGACGUUGACCCUAUUUUGUUGGUUUCUAGGAUUGACGUAAUGAUUAAUAGGGAUAGUUGGGGGCAUUAGUAUUCAAUUGUCAGAGGUGAAAUUCUUGGAUUUAUUGAAGACUAACUACUGCGAAAGCAUUUGCCAAGGAUGUUUUCAUUAAUCAAGAACGAAAGUUAGGGGAUCGAAGACGAUCAGAUACCGUCGUAGUCUUAACCAUAAACUAUGCCGACUAGGGAUCGGAUGAUGUUAAUUUUUUAAUGACUCAUUCGGCGCCUUACG